rnacentral:rRNA from 1 species
UACGGAGGGUGCAAGCGUUGUUCGGAAUCACUGGGCGUAAAGGGCGUGUAGGCGGCCUGUUAAGUCUGAUGUGAAAUCCCCUCGCUCAACGAGGGAACUGCGUCGGAAACUGGCAGGCUUGAGUACCGGAGAGGAAGGUGGAAUUCCCGGUGUAGCGGUGAAAUGCGUAGAUAUUCGCAAGAACACCAGUGGCGAAGGCGGCUCACUGGCCCGAUACUGACGCUGAGGCACGAAAGCGUGGGGAGCAAACAGG